GCUCGAUGGUGGAUGCUGUGCCAGCCGGUGCCACAUUGCACCUCUCUGCCCUCAUCUUUUCGAAUCGGGGCCCUAAUCCCCCUCUUUCACGGGGUGCUGUCGGGUCAAGGCAUCCAUCCUCUAGCUGAAGGAGAGGACUUGGGUGAGGAGCUGCUGCCACCCGGGCUGGGCCAGGACCUGAGAUCUCAUUGCUCCUGCUGCCGCUGCUGCCUGGGGGACCUUUCUGAGACCCAGGUCGGGGACAGUGCCGGAGGGGCCUCCUCUGCUGCAGACAUCUGAGCAGAGACGACUGGCCGCCCUGAGCGCAAUUCAAUUCAACAGACAUUUACUGAGUGCCUACUAUGCGCCAGGCCUUAGGCUGGGCACUGGGGGAGGGGCGCAGAGAGGAAGAUGG
rnacentral:lncRNA from 1 species